rnacentral:rRNA from 1 species
GUAGGGAAUAUUGGGCAAUGGAUGCAAGUCUGACCCAGCCAUCCCGCGUGCCGGAAGAAGGCCCUCAGGGUUGUAAACGGCUUUUGACGGUGAAGAAUCGACAGGAUGCGUCCUGUUUUGACGGUAGCCGUUGAAUAAGCACCGGCUAACUCCGUGCCAGCAGCCGCGGUAAUACGGAGGGUGCGAGCGUUGUCCGGAUUUAUUGGGUUUAAAGGGUGCGUAGGCUGGAAGGUCAGUCAGCGGUGAAAAGCUGUCGCUUAACGAUAGUCUUGGCGCAGAUACUUCCUUUCUUGGAUGAGGAGGAGGCCACUGGAACGGAUGGUGUAGCGGUGAAAUGCAUAGAUAUCAUCCAGAACACCGAUUGCGAAGGCAGGUGGCUGUACCUUAAUCGACGCUGAUGCACGAAAGCAUGGGGAGCAAACAGGAUUAGAAACCCCGGUAGUCC